AUUUGGCAAUGGGCGCAAGCCUGAAUCCAGCCCCCCCCGCGUGCAUGAUGAAGGCCCUUCGGGUUGUAAACUGCUUUUGUACGGAACGAAAAGGUCCUGGCUAAUAUCUGGGGCUGAUGACGGUACCGUAAGAAUAAGCACCGGCUAACUACGUGCCAGCAGCCGCGGUAAUACGUAGGGUGCAAGCGUUAAUCGGAAUUACUGGGCGUAAAGCGUGCGCAGGCGGCUGUGUAAGACAGGUGUGAAAUCCCCGAGCUCAACUUGGGAAUUGCACUUGUGACUGCAUAGCUAGAGUACGGCAGAGGGGGAUGGAAUUCCGCGUGUAGCAGUGAAAUGCGUAGAUAUGCGGAGGAACACCGAUGGCGAAGGCAGUCCCCUGGGCCUGUACUGACGCUCAUGCACGAAAGCGUGGGGAGCAAACAGGAUUAGAUACCCUGGUAGUCCACGCCCUAAACGAUGUCAACUGGUUGUUGGGUCUUCACUGACUCAGUAACGAAGCUAACGCGUGAAGUUGACCGCCUGGGGAGUACGGCCGCAGAGGUUGAAACUCAAAGGGAAUUGACGGA
rnacentral:rRNA from 1 species